GUCUAUUAGUGCUAUACAUAUAUUGAAAUCACGUUUGCGAUGCAAACCUUGAUUAAGGUGAUAUUGGCACUGGUAUUUCAGUCAAUGAAGUCAGUGAAGCACUCUGCUAUGAUAGCUACCUACAACUUUAGCAUGUUGACUCACUGAUAAUGGUUUAGCCCUAGCCUCUAGCUAACUGUGCAUUAACGUUUGCAUUUUGCCAAGUUUGGUCUCAUACGUAACUUUAGUGUCUAUCUGCCAUCUUUGUAAUGAAAGCCUCGGCAUUUUAAUCACGGUUUAAGUCGGUUCAGACAACUAUUGGCAUCGGUUUGUGAUUUAUUAUGCUAACGUAACUUAACUGUAUGGAACUUGGUCCCCAUCUUCUAUUUUGUUUGUUCUGCAGCGUCAACUUUUAUCGGCUGGAUUCUAGCAUCUAACGUUACGAUUGCCUCUGUUGGCUUUGCUUGAUCAACCAUCGUUUCGGGGACUCUGAUGACAGUGAAGAGCCAGAAAAUGGUGACUUUGCAUCUCUGAGGUACCUUCCAACUCGCCUGGUAUAUCAGUUGAACCCUCAAGCCCAAGCCAAUUGCACUGGCAAACUCCACCAUCUCGCCGAGUGCCAGGCAGCCGAGUCACUACC